GCGGCUGUGGUGAAAUUGGUAUACACGUACGCUUGAGGGGCGUAUAGCGCAAGCUGUGGGGGUUCAAGUCCCCCCAGCCGCACCA
rnacentral:tRNA from 3 species